AGUCUUGUUUCUCUACAAAUCGUAUAAAUCUUUCGCCUUUUACUAAAGAUUUCCGUGGAGAGAAACAAGAUUUUAUCCAAUUUUUUCAUACUCUGCGAUUUAGUGGAGUG
rnacentral:snRNA from 1 species